UACGAAGGGGGCUAGCGUUGCUCGGAAUUACUGGGCGUAAAGGGUGCGUAGGCGGGUCUUUAAGUCAGGGGUGAAAUCCUGGAGCUCAACUCCAGAACUGCCUUUGAUACUGAGGACCUUGGGUUCGGGAGAGGUGAGUGGAACUGCGAGUGUAGAGGUGAAAUUCGUAGAUAUUCGCAAGAACACCAGUGGCGAAGGCGGCUCACUGGCCCGAUACUGACGCUGAGGCACGAAAGCGUGGGGAGCAAACAGG
rnacentral:rRNA from 1 species